GGGGGACGGAGAAGGCUAUGUUAGCCGGGCGACGGUUGUCCCGGUUUAAGCAUGUAGGCUGAUUGUCCAGGCAAAUCCGGAUAAUCAAGGCUGAGGUGUGAUGACGAGGCACUACGGUGCUGAAGUAACAAAUGCCCUGCUUCCAGGAAAAGCCUCUAAGCAUCAGGUAACAUCAAAUCGUACCCCAAACCGACACAGGUGGUCAGGUAGAGAAUACCAAGCGCUUGAGAGAACUCGGGUGAAGGAACUAGGCAAAAUGGUGCCGUAACUUCG
rnacentral:rRNA from 1 species